UGGUGGAGUGAUUUGUCUGGUUAAUUCCGUUAACGAACGAGACCUCAGCUUGCUUUAUAGUGUUGCGAAUGGUUUUUCAUUCGUAUCUUGACACUUCAAAGAGGGACAUUUCGGUUUUUACCGGAAGGAAGUUUGAGGCAAUAACA
rnacentral:rRNA from 1 species